CACGUAGUUAGCCGUCCCUUUCUGGUAAGAUACCGUCACAGUGUGAACUUUCCACUCUCACACUCGCUCUUCUCUUACAGCAGAGCUUUACGAUCCGAAAACCUUCUUCACUCACGCGGCGUUGCUCGGUCAGACUUCCGUCCAUUGCCGAAGAUUCCCUACUGCUGCCUCCCGUAGGAGUCUGGGCCGUGUCUCAGUCCCAGUGUGGCCGAUCACCCUCUCAGGUCGGCUAUGUAUCGUUGCCUUGGUGAGCCGUUACCUCACCAACUAGCUAAUACAACGCAGGUCCAUCUGGUAGUGAUGCAAUUGCUACCUUUCAAGCAGCUAUCAUGCGAUAUCUACUGUUAUGCGGUAUUAGCUAUUCGUUUCCAAUUAGUUACUCCCCGCUACCGAGGCACGGGUUACCUACGCGUUACUCCACCCGUUC
rnacentral:rRNA from 1 species